CUUGUCAUUUCAUAUCAUUUUAUAACUUUUUUGGUUAUUUCGGUGCUAACGUGACUCGAAACUUAACGAUUAAAGCUUGUCAAAAUUUUUUGUGAACCAUGGCUGAUUUCUCCAGAACUUCAGCCGCUGUGGCAAAUACUAAUAUAAAUAGAACUGCAAGUGAAAUUAAUACUAGUAAACGGAAUUAUUGGAGGCAAAUGCUGAAAAGCUACGAGAAGAGGAACGCUUCAUUGGAGAGAAAGCGUAACGUACUCGUCGAAAGAGUCUGUUUUAUGGAAUGUACAUUGCCAUCCUUGAUGAUGGGCAUCGCUUCAUCUACCGCCUACGGUAAAGGAGUCCCCGAACAGGCGAAAAUCCCCGAAAACACAUCCAAGUCCUCUAAUCAAAGGAUAUAGCUGCAAAUCAUAACAAGAAUUAGCAAUUUAAUAAUAAGAAAGAAAGACGGAGAACAGAUGGGCAGUUUUAUUCAUUUCUUGUAAAUACACACGUGACGAAUAAAAUCAAUUCUAUAUAUGAAAUGAAUCUGUAAGCAAACAGCACCAUAGUGGUCAAACAGGCUUGAUCGAAUAAUUUUUGCUCCGAAAAUCUAUACAGCAUAAAUAUGGUAAGUGUUUGGAUAUACACACUUCUUGCGAAAAAUACUAAAUCUAUCAAAUCACUCAAGAUCGAUAUACAUGAUGCUAAGGCACGUUCGUUGUGUUAUACGAUCGAACAAAAAGUAGGACUAGAAACACAUUGUUUACACAUUAAUACACAUAUCAAUUACAUUAAAUGUUGAAGCAUACGUACGCACAUACAUAUAUAUAUAUUUUUCCAAUAUAAAGACACACGCAAGCCUAGCUUAGUUUCGAUAAGAUUCAUGAAAUGAUAUUCUACAGUGAAGGUAGCAAUUAUCUCAAUUUAAUUCAGUAUAUAAUUCUAUUAUAUACUUUAUCGCGUAAAAUUGGCGUGCAAAAGUUUAAAAUGAAAAGCUAAAAGAAAAAGAUCGGAGUGAAGUGAAUCGUUGAGGAAUUUAUAUAUUCCUUAUGAUACAUAUAUAUUACUUUCCUACAAUUACUCUUUCUAACGACUCCUCACACAGUGUAUAUAAUGAUGGAAAUUAUAAUAGAAUCUCCAAUAGUCGUCGAUAUAGACAUUAUAGAAUCUCAACAGCAUUACACAGACAUGCCUUUGUGGAUAGUUGAAUGCAUGGUAUCACGAAUCGCGCAAUAAUUUGCGACACACAUGCGAUGUGUGACAUCAAAUUAGCUUACGCACGCACAAUUGCCUUUUUGUCAUAUCAAAUUUAAAUUUAUGUCGAAACAUGGAUUUAAAUUUCGAUAGAGACAUACUAAAGAUUCAAAGAUACCUUUGAUAUGUCGCUUGGUACAAAAACGCAUCUGUUUAAUGCAGUCAUCUUCAAUCUGAUUUUUUCUGGGCGUCAUUCUUUAUCUCUUAAAAAUGCAUCAAUCGCGAAUAUUUCAAAUCAUACGUGAAAUUAUUUUGUAAUAAUUAUUGCACGUUGUAAUAAUUAUUACAAAGCAUCGUUAUAAUUAUUUUAUAAUAACGCUUUAUACAAUUUACGCUCGCGUGUGAGGGAGAUAUAUAUAAUCUACGGCUUAUUUGGCACUUGAUUUCACAGCUUGUACGAAAAGAUUGGUCGUGACGUGGGGAAGGUGAAGUACGCCAAACCGAGGGUUCAGGUUGGCACUUGAUCCGCAGGCGCCCUCGUUUUAUUUCUAGGACGUACCAUUUCUGAUCGUCACUUGGGCACACCAAGCAGCGCCAGCCGUAUUGUCCU